GGCUCCGGAUGCGCAGGCUCAGCGGCCAUGGCUCAUGGGCCCAGCCGCUCCGCGGCAUGUGGAAUCUUCCCGGACCGGGGCACGAACCCGUGUCCCCUGCAUUGUGGACUCUCAACCACUGCGCCACCAGGGAAGCCCCCUGGAAUUUCUUUUUUUGCUCUCAGAUUCAAGGAGGUUUAAGAAGGAAACUCCUAAGGCUUUUGAAAUGUGGAGGCUCUGGGGCCUGGGACCGGGUGGAGAAGAAUAUCCCUCCAAGGCGAGGAUCCAAGGUGACAAAAUCCUGGGAAGCAAGACCAGGGCUCCUGAAUCCGCAGGCAGAAAAGGGAAGCAGAUGUUUGGUCCCGACGCCUGUGAACACACAUCUCUCCUCGGAGGGCUGCCUCUGAGUCAAGGAAAGGGAAGCUGGAAAGCGUCAUAUUCCCUGCCUGAAACGAGGAGUGAGGGGGAGAAAAUAGGAGAACCAACACAAGGAAAUGAAUUUAUAUAAGUUAUCAUUUUUCUGUAACGAGUAACCA